rnacentral:rRNA from 1 species
GGUUAACCGGAGAGGGUUUGGAAACUGGGGAAUUGACUGGAAAAAAAGAAAGUGGAAUCCCGUGUAGCGGUGAAAUGCUAAAAAUUUGGGAGAAAACCCAGUGGCAAAGGCGACUCUCUGGCCUGUAACUGACCCUGAGGCGCGAAAGCGUGGGGAGCGAACAGGAUUAGAUACCCUGGUAGCCCCCGCCGUAAACGAUGAGUGCUAGGUGUUAGGGGUUCCAAUCCCCUAAUGCCCAAGCUAAACCCUUAAACCCUCCCCCUGGGGAGGACCGGCCCCAGGAUGAAACUCCAAAGAAUUGGCGGGGGCCCCGACCAACCGGGGAAGAUGGGGUUUUAUUUCAAACAAACGCGAAAAACUUACCACGUCUUGGAUCCUCCUGACCCCUAAGAUAUUGGUCUUCCUCCUCGGGGGAAAAGACACAUGAGGUGUGUGGGUGUUCCCUCUCGUGUCGUGAUAUGGUGGUAUAUCUCCCACCACGAGCGCACCCCGUGAUUUUAUGUGCCAUUAUUGAUUUGGGCUCUCUAGGGAGACUGCCGGCGAAACACAGGAAGAAGGGGGAGAUGACAACACAUCAUCGCGCCCUCUUACGACCUGUGCUACACUUGUGCUACAAUGGAUAGAAAAGGG